CAUGUAAGUGAACAAAGCUGGAAUUGUGAGCACCGUCUAUGAAAGCACCUUUGACCUAUUUGCACUCUUCACUAACAGGCUAGGAGGCAAGACUGUAUAUGAUCUUAAAAAGAAGACCUUCAUCAUUACAACACAAAAACACGUCUGCUUUACAAAUGCCAGGAGAUUCAAAGAUAGCCUGUCUCAUAUGACCGUCAAACAUUCAUCAAGUGUUUGCCGAUUCAUUUUGACAAACUGAAUUCUCUUGUAGAUAUCCUGUCAGUUGUAAUUACAGGUGGUCUGAGAGUGUCACCUGGUGAGAUAACAGCAGGCUGACUGUACCUCCUACUGUACUCGGAGACAGUUUGGACCAUAUUCUCUAUGUAGCCACCUGUUUAUCUGCAUUUGUUUUAUUAUCUGACUGUUCAAAAGUGAUGUUGUUUUUUGGCUAUAACAGCGACAAUUUAAAGUCAGGUGGUGACAUCAUCGUUUGCCAUACAUUUAAUUCUCUACAUUUUCUUUCUUAAGUUUCUUAAAUAUCAGGUUUUUUUUAUAAUAACCAGUCUACAAGCAAACUGAACGGGUGACUAAUCAACAUUUAUUCAUCCUUUGUCAUCAAGAACAUUGGUUCUCAAGUAGUGGGUCGGGGCCAAGAGGUGGGACGCAGAGCCAUUUUCAGUGGGUCACAAAAGUUUGCCUGGAAAAAACCUUGUGCAAAAAUGUUUGUGAAGCGCUUUGUAAACAUGUUUGUUUUGUUCAGUUUCUUACUUCUGUCACAUGUUUUGUACCGAAUGAGGUCCAAACUUUUUAUUUUUAUUUCAGUAAAUAAAUCUAAUUGGUCGAAAAAUAUCAGAAAGCGGUUUUUCCAGAGGAGUUGGUGGUGGGUCCUGAGGCUGGACGAGUUGAGAACCACUGAUCAAGAGGAUAUAUUCCUCAAUGCACAAAAAAAGACGAAGCCAAGCUAUGAAUGAUACAGUUAACGCUUCCAGUGAAUGACUGUUAAAUAUGUCUUCUCCACCUCUUAAUAAAACACAAUCCAGACUGCAUCCAGUGCGCUGUCACUAGGUUUAUGUUGAUUCUCCGUGACUCAGAGCCGCCUUUAUGUGACCUCUUCUCUCGAACAUCAAAGCAGGACACCCACAUCAGGCAUUAUGAAAUUCUAAGGGAUAAUGUGUGAGCAAAUCAAAGGAAUCAGCUCCGGCUCUCUUUUAUUGUCCGUUGACAGAGCGAACAGAGGCACUGGAGAUCAAACACAUACUGUAGUUAAUACGUUAAAGAUGUAAAAACUGGCUGUUCAUAAGGCUUUGUUUUUUUUUUUUUAUAGCUAGAGCAAAACGGUUCAUUCUACAGGAACGAUGACUUUCAAUGCUUACAAAUCUUCAGCAUGACUAAGUACAAGAUCAGUUUUAUCAACUGCAACUUAUAGUAAACACAGAAAGAAACAGAAUAUAUGUUAUUCUGGACUUCUUCAAGAAGUGCAAAUUGAGCAGUUUCUGAAGUAAUUGUUGCAAAAGACAAGAAAUGAAUCGGGUUAUCUUUUUUAAAAUACCUUAGGUUUUUAUCGAUGACAAAAUGUGUACUUCAGGUAGCACAUUUAGCAUGUUACUAAAAAACUGAAGGUUUAAAACAUAUAUCCUGUUUAUCCUUCACAUAAAAAGGAAACUAAGUCCACCUUUUUACCUGACCUUGAUUGUUGUGAUGUAUUGUACAUAAUGCCUCCGCUUUAAGCCUUCAUACGAUGGAGAGUAUAAUGGUGCACUGAGAUUUAUCACAAACUCUGGUUUUCUUACUCACCUUUGUCCAUAUUCUAAAGUCAGUUGAACUGCUUUUUGUACGAGCCAGCUCGUGCGUCGCUAUCUUCAAAAUAAAUCAGUUC